UGUUUCGGCUAGGGGGCCAUCCCGGCUUACCAACCCGAUGCAAACUGCGAAUACCGGAGAAUGUUAUCACGGGAGACACACGGCGGGUGCUAACGUCCGUCGUGAAGAGGGAAACAACCCAGACCGCCAGCUAAGGUCCCAAAGUCAUGGUUAAGUGGGAAACGAUGUGGGAAGGCCCAGACAGCCAGGAUGUUGGCUUAGAAGCAGCCAUCAUUUAAAGAAAGCGUAAUAGCUCACUGGUCGAGUCGGCCUGCGCGGAAGAUGUAACGGGGCUAAACCAUGCACCGAAGCUGCGGCAGCGACACUCAGGUGUUGUUGGGUAGGGGAGCGUUCUGUAAGCCUGUGAAGGUGGCCUGUGAGGGUUGCUGGAGGUAUCAGAAGUGCGAAUGCUGACAUAAGUAACGAUAAAGCGGGUGAAAAGCCCGCUCGCCGGAAGACCAAGGGUUCCUGUCCAACGUUAAUCGGGGCAGGGUGAGUCGACCCCUAAGGCGAGGCCGAAAGGCGUAGUCGAUGGGAAACGGGUUAAU
rnacentral:rRNA from 1 species